AUGACCAUAUCAUGUUGAAACAAUAAUUCUCAUAUGAUCACCGAAGCUAAGCAUAGUUGAGCCUUGUCAGUACCUAGAUGGGUGACCACUUGGGAAUACCAGGUGUUAUA